rnacentral:rRNA from 1 species
AUUGAACGCUGGCGGCAGGCCUAACACAUGCAAGUCGAACGGUAACAGGAAACAGCUUGCUGUUUCGCUGACGAGUGGCGGACGGGUGAGUAAUGUCUGGGAAACUGCCUGAUGGAGGGGGAUAACUACUGGAAACGGUAGCUAAUACCGCAUAACGUCGCAAGACCAAAGAGGGGGACCUUCGGGCCUCUUGCCAUCGGAUGUGCCCAGAUGGGAUUAGCUAGUAGGUGGGGUAACGGCUCACCUAGGCGACGAUCCCUAGCUGGUCUGAGAGGAUGACCAGCCACACUGGAACUGAGACACGGUCCAGACUCCUACGGGAGGCAGCAGUGGGGAAUAUUGCACAAUGGGCGCAAGCCUGGUGCAGCCAUGCCGCGUGUAUGAAGAAGGCCUUCGGGUUGUAAAGUACUUUCAGCGGGGAGGAAGGGAGUAAAGUUAAUACCUUUGCUCAUUGACGUUACCCGCAGAAGAAGCACCGGCUAACUCCGUG